UCAUCACAGAUAGUACACAGUCCCCAACGCCUUCCCAUGCCUCUCACACCUCAGAACAAUUUAGUGUUGGAGCUCCUGGAGAAGCUGAAGCAGAGUCGUUAGCGGGUGAUUCCCUGCCCUAGAACUGGCUGCCUACUCCAGUGUUCUAGAGACAUCAGUAACAGUGUUCCAGAGACGGCAGAUGGAUUACAGAGGACGGGCCUGCUGUACUCCCAACACUGUCUCCAUGAGAGACUGCCAAUCCACCAGUCUGUGACUACAGAGACUGUUACUGUCAAACACCUGCAUCAGGACACCCUCAGACCGGUCUUUGGCUAUGGACUAGAGACCUCAACAGGAGAACCAACCUCAGUCACAACAUGAGCCCCACACCAUUCCACAGACAUUGACAGACCUGCAUGUGAAGCAUGUUCAGAUACUAUGGCACAUUAGGGCCCGUUUCACACUGCCUGCGUUGAGUGUGUGUGGUGGCUGCGUUACCUGUUGAUUUUCAUGUCAGUGCCCUUGCUAACAGGUUAGAACAUGCACAAUGCUUGACUGAGAUGUGCAGUCAUAUCGAGUCGAGUUUCAGUGUGGCGACUAUUUGUUACACGUGAGAUAAGAUAAUCUCAGUAAAAAAGACAUGUUGACAUUAUACCACCAACCAACAUUAUAACUGGCGUCUUUCAUUGCAGUUUCGAGGUAUGGGCUAUAUCGCACAGACAUGACAGAAAUAUAAAUGUCC
ensembl:lncRNA